ACUCCUACGGGAGGCAGCAGUAGGGAAGUCUUCCACAAUGGGCGCAAGCCUGAUGGAGCAACACCGCGUGAGUGAAGAAGGGUUUCGGCUCGUAAAGCUCUGUUGUUAAAGAAGAACACGUAUGAGAGUAACUGUUCAUACGUUGACGGUAUUUAACCAGAAAGUCACGGCUAACUACGUGCCAGCAGCCGCGGUAAUACGUAGGUGGCAAGCGUUAUCCGGAUUUAUUGGGGCGUAAAGAGAGUGCAGGCGGUUUUCUAAGUCUGAUGUGAAAGCCUUCGGCUUAACCGGAGAAGUGCAUCGGAAACUGGAUAACUUGGGUGCAGAAGAGGGUAGUGGAACUCCAUGUGUAGCGGUGGAAUGCGUAGAUAUAUGGAAGAACACCAGUGGCGAAGGCGGCUACCUGGUCUGCAACUGACGCUGAGACUCGAAAGCAUGGGUAGCGAACAGGAUUAGAUACCCUGGUAGGAUAGCG
rnacentral:rRNA from 1 species